rnacentral:rRNA from 1 species
AUUGAACGCUGGCGGCAGGCCUAAUACAUGCAAGUCGAGCGGCAGCGGAAAGUAGCUUGCUACUUUGCCGGCGAGCGGCGGACGGGUGAGUAAUGUCUGGGAAACUGCCUGAUGGAGGGGGAUAACUACUGGAAACGGUGGCUAAUACCGCAUAACGUCGCAAGACCAAAGUGGGGGACCUUCGGGCCUCACGCCAUCGGAUGUGCCCAGAUGGGAUUAGCUAGUAGGUGGGGUAAUGGCUCACCUAGGCGACGAUCCCUAGCUGGUCUGAGAGGAUGACCAGCCACACUGGAACUGAGACACGGUCCAGACUCCUACGGGAGGCAGCAGUGGGGAAUAUUGCACAAUGGGCGCAAGCCUGAUGCAGCCAUGCCGCGUGUGUGAAGAAGGCCUUCGGGUUGUAAAGCACUUUCAGCGAGGAGGAAGGCAUCACACUUAAUACGUGUGGUGAUUGACGUUACUCGCAGAAGAAGCACCGGCUAACUCCGUGCCAGCAGCCGCGGUAAUACGGAGGGUGCAAGCGUUAAUCGGAAUUACUGNGCGUAAAGCGCACGCAGGCGGUUUGUUAANUCANAUGUGAAAUCCCCGAGCUCAACUUGGGAACUGCAUUUGAAACUGGCAAGCUANA